AAACUCCCAAACCAUCGCGAACGCAACCUCACGUACGUUGCCUCGGCCCGCGCGCCUAAAGCCUCCGGGCGGACGGGCGCGAGCCGGGGUGGCCAGACACUAAACUAUUUAUCUAUGGGCCUCUCUGAGUACAACUUUUAAUAAGUAAAAACUUUCAACAACGGAUCUCUUGGUUCUGGCAUCGAUGAAGAACGCAGCGAAAUGCGAUACGUAAUGUGAAUUGCAGAAUUCCGUGAAUCAUCGAAUCUUUGAACGCACAUUGCGCCCGCCAGUAUUCUGGCGGGCAUGCCUGUUCGAGCGUCAUUUCAACCAUCAAGCCCUGCUUGCGUUGGGGAACUGCGGCUGCCCGCAGGCCCAUCUGACCACCGGCGGGCUCGCCCACACACCGAGCGCAGUAGCACAUCUCGCUCCGGCCUGUGAGGGCGGGUCCUCGCCGUCAAAACAAACAAACCCUGAAAUGUUGACCUCGGAUCAGGUAGGACUACCCGCUGAACUUAAGCAUAUCAAUAAGCGGAGGAAAAGAUACCAACAGGUAUUGCCUUAGUAGCGGCGAGCGAAGCGGCAAGAGCUCAGAUUUGAAGUCUGGCCUUCGGGCCCGAGUUGCAACCUGGAGAGGAUGACUUUGGUGACGCGCCGGCUAAGACCACUGGAACGUGGCGCUAUAAAGGGUGACAGCCCCGUAGAGCCGGACGCCGAUCCUCUGUAAGUCUCCUUCGAAGAGUCGAGUAGUUUGGGAAUGCUGCUCAAAAUGGGAGGUAAAUUUCUUCUAAAGCUAAAUAUUGGCCAGAGACCGAUAGCGCACAAGUAGAGUGAUCGAAAGAUGAAAAGCACUUUGAAAAGAGGGUUAAACAGCACGUGAAAUUGUUGAAAGGGAAGCGCCUGUGACCAGACUUGCGCCCGGCUGAUCAUCCGGUGUUCUCACCGGUGCACUCUGCCGGGCUCAGGCCAGCAUCGGUUCUCGAGGGGGGAUAAAGGCUCAGGGAACGUAGCUCCUCCGGGAGUGUUAUAGCCCUGGGUGCAAUGCCCUCUCGGGGACCGAGGACCGCGCG
rnacentral:rRNA from 1 species